AAACUAACAAGGAUUCCCCUAGUAACGGCGAGUGAAGCGGGAAGAGCUCAAAUUUAAAAUCUGUAAGGUUCAACCUUGCCGAGUUGUAGUUUGAAGAAGUGUUUUCCGCGGCGGCUGCAGUACAAAUCCUUUGGAACAGGGUAUCAGAGAGGGUGAGAAUCCCGUCUUUGACUGCAGACUAGUUGCACUGUGAUACACUUUCUAAGAGUCGAGUUGUUUGGGAAUGCAGCUCAAAAUGGGUGGUAAAUUUCAUCUAAAGCUAAAUAUUGGCAAGAGACCGAUAGCGAACAAGUACCGUGAGGGAAAGAUGAAAAGAACUUUGAAAAGAGAGUUAAAUAGUACGUGAAAUUGUUAAAAGGGAAACGCUUGAAGUCAGUGUUGCCGGCGGAAAAUCAGCUUCAGACUGGUGACUUGCGCGGGUGGAGGGAGUGUUAAAACCCCUUGCCAGCGUACAGGAGCUUGGAUGGAGUGCACUUUUCAGUCGGCAGGUCAACAUCAAUUUCAGCCGGUGGAAAAAAGCUAGCGGAACGUAGGUUGGAGCAAUCUAACUGUUAUAGCCGCCUGCCAAUACACUGGGUGGGAUUGAGGACAGCAGUGCAGGCCAUUAUGGCGGAAGCUCUGUGUCUUUCUCCGGGGGGCAUGUCAAGACAGCUUGCUGACUUGGUGUGUACACUCUUGGGAACGAUGCGGAUGUACUUCUCCUGCACUAAGGAUGUUGACGAAAUGGCUUUAAACGAC
rnacentral:rRNA from 1 species